UACGGAGGGUGCGAGCGUUGUUCGGAAUCACUGGGCGUAAAGCGUGUGUAGGCGGUCUAUCAAGUCAGGAGUGAAAUCCCCGGGCUCAACCCGGGAAUUGCUCUUGAAACUGAUAAGCUAGAGUACUGGAGAGGUUAGCAGAAUUCCGAGUGUAGAGGUGAAAUUCGCAGAUAUUCGGAGGAAUACCAGUGGCGCAAGCGGCUAACUGGACAGUAACUGACGCUGAGGCGCGAAAGCGUGGGGAGCAAACAGG
rnacentral:rRNA from 1 species